rnacentral:sRNA from 1 species
CCUUUACGCGUGGAUUUGAAAAACGAGAAUUCGUUGUUCAAUCUUGUCGGGCGCUCAGCCAGACAAAUGUUUAUUGAGGAUAU